UUCCUGUUAACUCCUUUUAUAUGAUUAAGACAAUAAAUUAUUACAACCACACAUCCAUAUUUCAUAAACUACUCUUAUUUAAUAUCAUUAACAUUUUUUAUAUGAUCAACAUUAAGUCAAAUUCACUCGACAUCGUGGUUUCCUUUGCAAUCAAUAUUAAUCUGGUCAGAAGUUACAUAGGAAUUGGAGAUGAUAUUCAUGGGAUCAUCAAGAAAGCAAUCAAAUAAGCCAACAUAGAAGAAACGCUUCCCAAGAGAUGGCACGGCGGUCACUCUCACCACGAUCACCGGCGCCGAUCGGAGGAAGGCGAGAAGAUUUUCCGGCUCGGACUCGCCGCUGAUAUCGGAUUAGCUGCCGGUAAAGCAUUGACCGGUUAUGUCUCCGGGAGUACCGCAAUUAUCGCUGAUGCAGCUCAUUCUCUGUCUGAUGUGUUCGUAUGGUCGAGCCACGAAACAUAAAUGGUGUCAGAGUCAACGGAGGUUAUGAGUCCGAAUGCUCACGGCUGUCAAAGCUCAUAUCUACAGAAAUACAAUUAAAAACAAGAAAAACAGGUAGCAUGAUCAUACAAGAUGGGACGUUUCUCUUUUCGGACAUUAAGUAUUAUUGUCUAAACUUCCGGAGACAUUUUCAUGUCUUUCGGUUAGAUAAUAAGCUUUUUGAAUGAAAGAAACUCCUCGGAGUAUUGUUGUA